CACCCCGUAAAGACACCCGCGCACAGCGCUCCGCCGCGACCGCCCCCCGCCGCUGCCCUGGGCCAUCUCCGCGCGGCGCACGCCUGGGGCGAGUCAAUGAGUGCCCAGCCGAGUCCCAGGAGCGCGCGGCAGUCAGGGGCGGCGCGGAGGUGGCGGCAGGACGCGUGCCACCACUGGAUCCCUGGCUGGUGGCGGGGAACCUCCCGGCUCAGCGCGGACUUUGCACUGCUUGCAGGGGAACCAGGGCUGGGGCCCGCACGUGUAUGGACUCUGGGACAGGAGAAACCACCCACGCAGAGGGACUUCUCUACUUUGCAUCCCCAACCCUGAGCUGUAAAUGCCACCAAUGAAGAACUGGACUCUGGGCUUUGAGUCUUCUGGGGGUGAAAAGUCCCUCUUCGAAAUGCAAACUGCGCUGACCACCAAGGGUCCAGAUCUGGAACUUUCCCUGUUGGUCAGAUGCCCUGGCAGUUGCUAAGCCAAGCUUUGGGUCCUUCCUGUGAUAAAACCCUUCCAGUAACGCUAUAAUGGUGGAGGGCUUACAGUGACUCUAUAUGACAGAGCAGGAGACUGAGGUCAAGAGAGGUUAAGUAAUUUGCCCAAGGUCGUCUGAUCAGGGAAUGAGGGAUUUAUUCCCAGUCUGUCUCACUUUGGAUGUGGUGGGCUUUACCACUUCUCCCUUGGUACUGGGGGCCAGUGAGGGUCCAGGAGCUCUGGGGUAGAUGGGGUUACAGGAUGGUCAAUUCACACCCAGGUGAAACCAGAGCACUAAAUUAGGAGUGGGGCAGAAUGGCAUCAGCAAUGGGCAUGGGGUCAGACAGACUCACCUUAACCAGCUUCCCCCACUAAUCAAGUCUGAGGCACUGCCUCCCACCCUCCUUUUCAUUCUCUCUGCUGCUUCCUUCUUCCUUCAGGGACCCUUUGCCUGUCCUUCCACAGCCUGCUGUUUGUCUCCUCUCCUUGCCUCCCCAUGCCCCUCAGCACACCUGCCUUCUACCCUGCACUCAAUCUCAGUGUCUGGUUUGCUCAAACAUUUCCCCACCCACCAGCCCUGGACCUUGCUUUGCUGUGCCCUCCUCCUGGUAUGUCCUCUGUCUUCCACCCACCAGCUCCAGCCGGCCCAAUCUGAUUCAUCUUAGCAUGUGGCCUUGUGCCAAGGAUAGGGCUUGUCUCUGGCUAGGCCUCAGCAGGCAGUUUUGGGAAGAUAAACAGAUGGAUGGAUGGAUGGAAGGACAAGACAAAUGAUCCCACCCAGGGCCCUCUACCCAACAGGAGCUGAAGAGCCAUUUGUGGAAUGUCUGCUGAUCAGACCUUGACCAGGGGACACUAUUUAAGGUCCUGUUCUUGAUUGACCUUGGGAAGGAAACUCAUUCCUUCUACCUAGCUCCCCUGUAUCUCUGGGUCUGUCUGUUUCCCUCUCCCAGUUCCCCAGAUAGAAUAGUGGAGAUAAAUUGACAGCUAGUUAGCUUGGCCAACACCAGUGACUUUCCAGUCCUGCAGAGACAUCCUUCACUGACUCAAGAGCAGAAACGCCCUCUCAAUAUAAAUCUGACCUUAGAGAAGGGUCAGAGGACUCAUGAUAGAGAUGUAGGGGGUGUUCACGACCAGCAAGUGAAAGAGAAUAGAUCAUUGCCAAAGCCCCAGGUCUUCAAGCCAGAAACACUACCUCCAGAUCAAAAAAACAAAGGCAUGCCUCAGGGAAGGCCUGGAGCCUCUCUCCUGGAGGAUCCAGCCACUGUUCUUGCAGGGGAGAUGCAGCACCUAGGGAUCUAGGAAUGGCCCAAACUCCAUUGACCCACAUCUUCCUCACAGCAACCCAGGCCUUUUCCUUAUUUUUUUUAAAAAAUAGUGCUUAAAAAUAAAAUUUGAAUUCUUAAUAUAGUUUUGCAUCCAGCUUCAUCCACACAGCAACCCUAGGGACAUUUGGGCCCCAUUUUACAGAAGACAAAAGCAAGGUUCAGUGAGGUUGAAUGGUGGGCUCUAGGAUUCACAGUAAAUGACAGAGCAAGGAUAAAAACCUACGGUUCACUCAACAUUGUCUAAAAUCACAGACAGGGGAGGACGUGAAUUUCAAAUGUGUUUCUCAUUUGCAUGUAUAUUCAAGUUCUCUCAAAAAGGAAUUAGAGAAAAAGGGAGAAUGUUGUGCUUCCAGAGAGGCGAUCAGAGACUAGAAAGGGCAGGGGAGGGUACCAAAUGUGUACUCUCUACACUUCAUCUUAGCCAAAAGGUCUAGAAGCAAUCAGAAUGUAUAUUUUUUUGAAAGAAUUAAAGUAUAUACGGUGUAUUGCCUCCUCAACAACCAUUAAAAAUUGAUUCAGUUCUUCCCUU